rnacentral:lncRNA from 1 species
CACCAUGUGAGACAUGGCUUUCACCUUCCAUCAUGAUUGUGAGGCCUCCCCAGCCACAUAGAAUUGUGUCAUGAGAGCCACCCUUCCCAAAGUAGCACUUGUGAGCAGAGGUGAUCAGAGGGCUUUCUGAAGAGUGAGGAGUGACUUCAGAGGGCCAAAAAGAAGAAAAGGGAGUGAGACAGUCGUUAAGACUCCUAAUCCCGGCUUAUUUUUACUGCUUCUCAACACAGCAUUGCAAGUGGCUGAUUUGAUGGAUGUGGCACGUGACCAAGUUCUGGCUAAUGAGAUGUCUGAAACUUAAAGUGGAAGAGAUGUAUCAUCUCCUUUUCCUUGCUCCAUCCUGCUACCUGAAAAAUGGAUGUGGUGACAAGCCCUGGAAAACCACAAGGAUGAGAACAGCACUGGAGAGAUGGUGCAGCGCAUGAUGCAAUUGCCUAGGUAUCUGAUGGCUGAGUAGAAUUUCUCUCCUCCGACUUUUACAUGGGAAGGAAAUAAAACUCUAUUUUGUUUG